rnacentral:rRNA from 1 species
AUUGAACGCUGGCGGCGGGCCUAACACAUGCAAGUCGAACGGUAACAGGAAGAAGCUUGCUUCUUUGCUGACGAGUGGCGGACGGGUGAGUAAUGUCUGGGAAACUGCCUGAUGGAGGGGGAUAACUACUGGAAACGGUAGCUAAUACCGCAUAACGUCGCAAGACCAAAAAGGGGGACCUUCGGGCCUCUUGCCAUCGGAUGUGCCCAGAUGGGAUUAGCUAGUAGGUGGGGUAACGGCUCACCUAGGCGACGAUCCCUAGCUGGUCUGAGAGGAUGACCAGCCACACUGGAACUGAGACACGGUCCAGACUCCUACGGGAGGCAGCAGUGGGGAAUAUUGCACAAUGGGCGCAAGCCUGAUGCAGCCAUGCCGCGUGUAUGAAGAAGGCCUUCGGGUUGUAAAGUACUUUCAGCGGGGAGGAAGGGAGUAAAGUUAAUACCUUUGCUCAUUGACGUUACCCGCAGAAGAAGCACCGGCUAACUCAGUG